GCAUUCUUGGUCUAAUGGUUAGGAUUGCUGCCUUCCACUUCGUUCCUAACUCGAACCCAGUGAGCAGCAGGUUCGGGUUCGAUUCCCGAAGAAUGCA